GCUUAACACAUGCAAGUCUACUUGAUCCUUCGGGUGAAGGUGGCGGACGGGUGAGUAACGCGUAAAGAACUUGCCUUACAGACUGGGACAACAUUUGGAAACGAAUGCUAAUACCGGAUAUUAUGAUUGGGUCGCAUGAUCUGGUUAUGAAAGCUAUAUGCGCUGUGAGAGAGCUUUGCGUCCCAUUAGUUAGUUGGUGAGGUAACGGCUCACCAAGACGAUGAUGGGUAGCCGGCCUGAGAGGGUGAACGGCCACAAGGGGACUGAGACACGGCCCUUACUCCUACGGGAGGCAGCAGUGGGGAAUAUUGGACAAUGGACCAAAAGUCUGAUCCAGCAAUUCUGUGUGCACGAUGAAGUUUUUCGGAAUGUAAAGUGCUUUCAGUUGGGAAGAAGUCAGUGACGGUACCAACAGAAGAAGCGACGGCUAAAUACGUGCCAGCAGCCGCGGUAAUACGUAUGUCGCAAGCGUUAUCCGGAUUUAUUGGGCGUAAAGCGCGUCUAGGCGGCUUAGUAAGUCUGAUGUGAAAAUGCGGGGCUCAACCCCGUAUUGCGUUGGAAACUGCUAAACUAGAGUACUGGAGAGGUAGGCGGAACUACAAGUGUAGAGGUGAAAUUUCGUAGAUAUUUGUAGGAAUGCCGAUGGGGAAGCCAGCCUACUGGACAGAUACUGACGCUAAAGCGCGAAAGCGUGGGUAGCAAACAGGAUUAGAUACCCUGGUAGUCCACGCCGUAAACGAUGAUUACUAGGUGUUGGGGGUCGAACCUCAGCGCCCAAGCUAACGCGAUAAGUAAUCCGCCUGGGGAGUACGUACGCAAGUAUGAAACUCAAAGGAAUUGACGGGGACCCGCACAAGCGGUGGAGCAUGUGGUUUAAUUCGACGCAACGCGAGGAACCUUACCAGCGUUUGACAUCCCAAGAAGUUAACAGAGAUGUUUUCGUGCCUCUUCGGAGGAACUUGGUGACAGGUGGUGCAUGGCUGUCGUCAGCUCGUGUCGUGAGAUGUUGGGUUAAGUCCCGCAACGAGCGCAACCCCUUUCGUAUGUUACCAUCAUUAAGUUGGGGACUCAUGCGAGACUGCCUGCGAUGAGCAGGAGGAAGGUGGGGAUGACGUCAAGUCAUCAUGCCCCUUAUACGCUGGGCUACACACGUGCUACAAUGGGUAGUACAGAGAGCUGCAAACCUGCGAGGGUAAGCUAAUCUCAUAAAACUAUUCUUAGUUCGGAUUGUACUCUGCAACUCGAGUACAUGAAGUUGGAAUCGCUAGUAAUCGCAAAUCAGCUAUGUUGCGGUGAAUACGUUCUCGGGUCUUGUACACACCGCCCGUCACACCACGAGAGUUGGUUGCACCUGAAGUAACAGGCCUAACCGUAAGGAGGGAUGUUCCGAGGGUGUGAUUAGCGAUUGGGGUGAAA
rnacentral:rRNA from 1 species